AUCACUUCUCAGCCUUUGGGCUAAGAUCAAGUGCAGUAUCUGUUCUUAUCAGUUUAAGAGGAAACUAAGUGAUAGAUUAGGUCAGAUUCCAUCAGCCUAUAAUGUCUUCUAGGGCAGGAUAUCUGUCUGUGUGAUAUAGCAUUGUGUUCUCACCACCUGUC
ensembl:snRNA U2 U2 spliceosomal RNA